rfam:Camelus ferus unplaced genomic scaffold scaffold1033, whole genome shotgun sequence.
GAAGUCCUGGGCAAUCUGGCUGUGACAUCCAUCACCCCAUUGACUGCUAGUGUUGUUUCAGCUGAUCUGGCUGGCUAAGCAGGUGACCCCUUCCCCCCUCACUGCUUCAUGUAUGUCCCCCUAACCCGAAGCUGCACGCUCAGUCGAAGAGGACAACCUUCCCUGAUAGAGGAGGACAGUUCUUCAGUCAGGGGUGUACGAGCAGCUGCCCUCCCCUGCUAGAACCUCCAAAUACGCUCUCAAGAGUGAAAUCCCUAUUCCAGUCUCAAAUAUCUCAUGCAACACUGGUUUCAGCCUAGUGAACCCACAAAAGACUACAGAAGGGAGGCCAGCAUAAUU